CCUACGGGCGGCAGCAGUGAGGAAUAUUGGUCAAUGGAGGAGAGUCUGAACCAGCCAUGCCGCGUGCAGGAAGACGGCUCUAUGAGUUGUAAACUGCUUUUGAACAAGGGUAAACCUGAAUACGUGUGUUCAGCUGAAAGUACUGUACGAAUAAGGAUCGGCUAACUCCGAGCCGGCAGCCGCGGUAAUACGGAGGAGCCAAGCGUUAUCAGGAUUUAUUGGGUUUAAGGGGUGCGUAGGCGGAGUGAUAAGUUAGAGGUGAAAUGUCCGGGCUUAACUCGGGAACUGCCUCUAAUACUGUUGAUCUAGAGAGUAGAUGCGGUAAGCGGAAUGUAUGGUGUAGCGGUGAAAUGCUUAGAGAUCAUACAGAACACCGAUUGCGAAGGCAGCUUACUAAACUGUGACUGACAUUGAUGCUCGAAAGUGUGGGUAUCAAACAGGAUUAGAUACCCGAGUAGUC
rnacentral:rRNA from 1 species